rnacentral:rRNA from 1 species
UACGAAGGUGGCAAGCGUUGUUCGGAUUUACUGGGCGUACAGGGAGCGUAGGCGGUUGGGUAAGCCCUCCGUGAAAUCUCCGGGCCUAACCCGGAAAGUGCGGAGGGGACUGCUCGGCUAGAGGAUGGGAGAGGAGCGCGGAAUUCCCGGUGUAGCGGUGAAAUGCGUAGAGAUCGGGAGGAACACCGGUGGCGAAGGCGGGUCUCUGGGCAUCUCCUGACGCUGAGGCGCGAAAGCGUGGGGAGCAAACGGGG